UACGGGGGGGGCAAGCGUUGUUCGGAAUUACUGGGCGUAAAGGGUCUGUAGGUGGCCAACUAAGUCAGACGUGAAAUCCCUCAGCUUAACUGGGGAACUGCGUCUGAUACUGGUUGGCUUGAGUGCAGGAGAGGAAUGCGGAAUUCCAGGUGUAGCGGUGAGAUGCGUAGAUAUCUGGAGGAACACCGGUGGCGAAGGCGGCAUCCUGGACCGGCAUUGACGCUGAGGCGCGAAAGCCAGGGGAGCAAACGGG
rnacentral:rRNA from 1 species